rnacentral:rRNA from 1 species
UUAGAUACCCUAUUAUACUAAUAAUAGUCUGAAUUAUUAAUAGAUAUGAUCUUUAAAUUUGAAGAAUUUGGCGGUGGUUUAAUCUUAUUAGAGGAAUCUGUUUUUAAAUCGAUAUGCCACGUGGAAUCUUACUUGUUUUAUUUAGCUUAUAUACCGUCAUUAUCAGAUAAUUUUUAAAGAAAUCAAUUAUUAAGAUUUAUUAGGGAAAUAAAUGAAAUUAGAUCAAGGUGUAGUUUAUGGACAAGUUAAAAUGGAUUACAAUAAAAUAUAUUUAUCACGGAGUAGGGUAAGAAAGGUGAAUGCUAUGAAGGAGGAUUUAAUUGUAAUUAAAGUUUAAUAAGCUUUAAAGAUAUAAGCACUAAAUCAUGUACAUAUCGCCCGUCGCU